AGUGAACGCUGGCGGUAGUCCUAACACAUGCAAGUCGAACGGCAGCACAGUAAGAGCUUGCUCUUACGGGUGGCGAGUGGCGGACGGGUGAGGACUACAUCGGAAUCUACUUUUUCGUGGGGGAUAACGUAGGGAAACUUACGCUAAUACCGCAUACGACCUACGGGUUAAAGCAGUGGAUCUUCGGACCUUGCGCGAUUGAAUGAGCCGAUGUCGGAUUAGCUAGUUGGCGGGGUAAAGGCCCACCAAGGCGACGAUCCGUAGCUGGUCUGAGAGGAUGAUCAGCCACACUCGAACUGAAACACGGUCCAGACUCCUACGGGAAGCAGCAGUGAGGAAAAUUGGACAAUGGGCGCAAGCAUGAUCCAGCCAUACCGCGUGAGUGAAGAAAGCCUUAGAGUUGUAAAGACCUUUUGUUGAGAAAGAAAAGCAGCAGGUUAAUACCACGCUGUUCUGACGGUACCCAAAGAAUAAGCACCGGCUAAAUUCGUG
rnacentral:rRNA from 1 species